UUUAUGGAGUUAUUUAACUCCAUAAAUACUUAAAUUAAUGUAGCAU
rfam:Ictidomys tridecemlineatus contig105525, whole genome shotgun sequence.